UUGUCUAUAGGUUUUCUUUGUUUAUAGAUAUUUUCUGCCCGGUGGUUUUUAACGGCCGCGGUACUCUGACCGUGCAAAGGUAGCAUAAUCAUUUGCCCCUUUAUUGGGGGCUAGAAUGAAUGGAAUAACGAGGUUCUGACUGUCUCUUUUUUUAGGGUGAAACUUGCUGUUUUUGUGAAGAAGCAAAAUUAUAGGAGAAAGACAAGAAGACCCUAUUAAGCUUGACCUGUUUUUUGUGUUUAUUUGUUUUAUAAAAUAGAUAUAUAUAGUAAUAAUAAGGGUUUAAUUGGGGUGAUUAAAAAAGAAAAAAUCUUUUUUUAUAAUAAUGACUUAUUUGUUAAAGGAAGAGCCAAGAGUUUUUGAAAGAAAGAAAAAGUUACUAUAGGGAUAACAGCGUAAUUUUUUCUGAGAGUUCGUAUUGAAGAAAGAGAUUGCGACCUCGAUGUUGACUUAUUGUGUCCUUUGGGUGCAGUAGCUUUUAGGGUUAGUCUGUUCGACUAUUAAAACAAU
rnacentral:rRNA from 1 species